GUGCCAGCAGCCGCGGUAAUACGUAGGGCGCAAGCGUUGUCCGGGAAUUAUUGGGCGUAAAGAGCUUGUAGGUGGCUUGUCGCGUCUGCCGUGAAAACCCGAGGCUCAACCUCGGGCGUGCGGUGGGUACGGGCAGGCUAGAGUGUGGUAGGGGAGACUGGAACCCCUGGUGUAGCGGUGAAAUGCGCAGAUAUCAGGAAGAACACCGAUGGCGAAGGCAGGUCUCUGGGCCAUUACUGACACUGAGAAGCGAAAGCAUGGGGAGCGAACAGGAUUAGAUACCCUGGUAGUCC
rnacentral:rRNA from 1 species